UUUUUUUUUUGGCUUAUGCUUUUUUAAAGUCAGCUCCCUCACAUGUGACUAUCAGUAACAACAAAUUACCAACAGUAACAGGGUCUUAUAUCCACAGACAUUCUCAUAUGAGGUAUCAAUGUCCCCAGGGCUAUAUGUGCAGUUUGAAAAUGUCUCCGAGGUAAUUUUGAUUUUCAUUAACGCAAGAUAUUUUGAGAUUUACAAACAUGUAUUAUUAGGAAAACUGCAGUCAACUCCCUGGAACUGAGGGAAAGAAGGGAUGAGCAUAUUUGUUAAAUUAAAAAUCUAUAGUGGGAGAUUAACUGGCACAGGCUUUGUGACAAGACAUGAGAAAAGAGCGCCUUGCUACCAACCUCUGUCACAACACCCAAUAGAAUAGCACCUCAUAGUGAAUGUCAUAAUCUACACAGCAUCUAUUCAGGAAAUCAUGGUGGCGUUACCACAGCUCAAUGUCAAUGCCACCCAGUGACCCAACUUUAGAUGAAGAAUGUUGUAUAUUUGGAAAGAAGCAACAUUGUUUAUAUGGAGCUAGAAAAAUGCAAACUUUAAACAUAAGUCACUUAAGCAUAACUAAAGGUAGUUUUUCUCUAAUGAAAAGAGUAAAGGAAUCAAGUAAUGCUGUUGCCCAAGCUAUGGCAAGUCCCAAGAAGGAAGGAGCAAGGCCUCCUGCAGCUGCUCUUCCCCAUUGGUGGUUGUCUUCCUCUUCUACUUCAGUGUCACUGCAGUCUACAUCCAGCCCCAAAGCCAUUUUUCCCAGAAAGGAGGGAAAUUCCUGACUCUUUUCUACACCGUUGUGACUCCCAUUCUCAACUCCCUCAUCUACACCUUGAGGAAUAAGAAUAUGAAGGGUACCUUCAGGAGGCUAUUUGGAAAUGACAGAAUGGCCAGUGAGAACUGAGGGGCUCAGACUUAAGGGUGAGUUCAGCUUUUGUUCAGUUCAGCUUCUCACAGCAUGGUCUUUGUGGUGCUUCAUGUGUGGGUGAUUUUCAAUUAUCAGUACAAAUACAAAGGGUCAAUGGUGUGCUUUUAUAGACAGUGGACCAAUAAAAUUAAAUUAACACACCACGUAGAGUUAAUGUUAAUUUUAAAUACAAGUAUAACAUUGUUCCAGUCAAGGUAUGGUCAGGAAAUAGAAACAACUCCAGUUCUUUUAAAAAAGAUAGUUUAUUAUAAGGAAUGGUUAACUGGCUAUUAAGGACAAGGAAAGGGAAAUUGAAAAAGAAAAAGAGCAACCUCCUCUAGAGUUGGAGGACACAAGGAAUGGAUUGGAACUGUUAAAACUUAUGGCUCAGAGGAGCAACCCGUUAAACAACAACAAGAACAAAAAAGGUUGCAGUCAAGUGGAUUUGGGCUCAUAGCAACCCUAUAGGACAGAGUAGAACUGCCCCAUAGGGUUCCCAAGGAGCAGCUGGUGAAUUUAAAUUGCUGGCUUUUGGUUAGCAGCCAAGCUCUUAACCACUGUGCCACCAGGGCUCCAGAAGAGCGACAUAGGAAGCAAAAUUCUUAAACCUCCUACUUCUGAGGAGGGACAAGGGCUGGUUAUGCCAGUAUCAUUGAUGGAACCUAAUGCCCUUGUUCUACUCACCACAGCUGAGAAUCUUCAUUCAACUUAAUUCAACUCCUCCUGCCUAAUAAACUUCCACUGACACGGUGAAAUAGUUACUAGGGUCAUAUUAACAAGAAGAGAAAGCAAACAGGAAGCAAACAGGGAAGAGAAAGGCUCUUCUCAUCUCACCCACCAACCUGCCUGCCAGUAUCGCCCCCUAUGGGUGAUGACUAAUAAGAAAACAGCAAGCAAAGAAGAAGUGUAUUGUGCACACUCCCAAAUGCAGCCUCAUGAAAGGGCUGAUAAAAGUAUGGAUUUGGAGCUCAGAGACACACCUUAAUACCUGGCUCACAUGUGUGGUACAUCACACAAGUCUUCACAGUAUAACAGGAAUCCAAAAGACAAAGUUCUAAUUAAGAAGAAGACAAAUAUAUAGACAGGUUGUUGAUUCUGCUCAGUAUUCUUCUCGCUCUUCACUUUCUUCUGAGAACACCAUGUCAAUAGACCGUGCUAAUGAGCCUACCCUGCAAAUGAAGCGUCUGUGGUCACCUGAGAGGGAAUUGGUCAGUGUAGCCCUUGCUGGGAGGGGCCAUGACUUGAAAUUGACAAGGAGUUGUGUAUAUAAGCAGCCAAAUCCACAGAGGUUUUAGAGACAGAAACAAGUAGGAAGAGAUGUAGCAAGAAGAAGCAGAAGGAAGAAAGAAGAGAGAAGAAGCAGAAAAAGAGGAGGCAAGAAACCUCCUAAGGGAGCUGGAACGUGGGUCAAGGGCUGUAACACUGAUGAUAGCAAGAGGCCCAGAAGGGACCCAGUGACAGAGUCGUUGGUGACAGAUGGCUGGGCCAAAAGGAGGCUGUCUUCAGGGGGCUGAGAGGAAACUGUCCCCAUGGGGCUGAGGGUAACCUGUCCUCAGGGGGCCAAGAGGAGGCCUACACCACCAAGAGGAGCUGAGAGCUGUCCUGCACGGAAGAAGGGAGACUUUGACUACAUGCUUCCUGACCUAGAUCCUGAGUUGUAGCCUGUUCCUUAAUAAAUCACCUCACUGCAAGAGAUGCCAACAUAGUCUCAAGGGUCCACCUGAUCCAAGAAGCUCACUCCUCAACAACAUCCCUCUCCAGCCCAUUAUCCAGUCCAAUCCAUGUCUGAAGAGUUGGCUUCGGGAAUGGUUCCUGUCCUGGGGCAACAGAAGGUCUGGGGGCCAUGACCACCGGGGUCCUUCCGGUCUCCUGCACACCAUUAAGUCUGGUUUUAUGAGAAUUUGGGGUCUGCAUCCCACUGCUCUCCUGCUCCCUCAGGGGUUCUCUGUUGUGUUCCCUGUCAGGGCAGUCAUCAAUUGUAGCCGGGCACCAUCUAGUUCUUCUGGUCUCAGGAUGAUGUAGUCUCUGGUUCAUGUGGCCCUUUCUGUCUCUUGGGCUCAUAAUCGCCUUGUGUCCUUGGUGUUCUUCAUUCUCCUUUGAUCCAGGUGGGUUGAGACCUAUUGAUGCAUCUUAGAUGGCUGCUUGCUAGUGUUUAAGACCCCAGAUGCCACUCUUCAAAGUGGGAUGCAGACUGUUUUGUUAAUAGAUUUUAUUAUGCCAAUUGACUUAGAUGUCCCCUGAAACCAUGGUCCCCAGACCCCUGCCCCUGCUACGCUGGCCUUCGAAGCAUGGAAUUUAUUUUUAAUUAAACAUUUUUAUUUUCAGAUAACUGUAGAUUUAUUAUGUAGCUAUAAGAAAUAAUACAAAGAUCCUUUACUUAGUUUUCCCAGUGGUAACAUCUUGCAAAACUGUGGAACAUGUCUCAACCAGGAAGUUGACACAUAAUAAAUAAAAGACAAAAUAUAGAAAACUUCCAUCACCACCAAAUCCCUCGUUGCCUUUUCUAGUCACACCACUUUCUUUGCAACCCCCCAAUUAAGCCCUGGCAGUAACUCAUCUAUUCUCUGUUUCUAUAUUUUUGUCAAUUGAAAAUCUGAUAUAAUUGAGAUUACACAAUACGUAGUCUUUUGGAAUUGACUGUUUUUUGCUGAGUAUAAUCCUCUGGAGAUUCAUCCACAGUUGUGGCUUGUACCAAUAACAACAUUUUCCUUUUGAUUACCAAAGAGCAUUAAAUGAUAUUGAUGUACCACAGUGUUAUGGAUUGAAUUGUGUUCUCCAAAAAGAGAUUUCAAAAUCUUAACCCCUGUUCCUAGGGGUUAAGAAGAAGCCCUGGUGGAGCAGUGGUUAAGCGCUUGGCUGCUAACCGAAAGGUUGACGGUUCAAACACACCAGCCACUCUGUUGGAGAAAGAUGUGGCAGUCUGCUUCCGUAAAGAUUAUAGCCUUGGAAACCCUUUGGCACAAUUCUACUCCAUCCUAUGGGGCCCCUAUGAGUCAGAAUUGACUCAAAGGUAGUGUUUUUUUUUUUUUUUUGUACCGGUGACUGUGACCUUGUUUGAAGGGUCUUUCUUUGAAGAUAUUGUAAGUUAAGUCAUACCAGAGUAGGGUGUGUCCUACUCCUAAUCCCUUUUGAGUGGUGUCUUAUAACAGGAGAGAACAGACACAGAGAGAGGCAUACAUGGGGGAAGACACCACUUGAAGACGCAGCCAUAAGCAAUAAAGGAACUCCAAAGAUUGCCAGAAGAACCAGAAGCUAGGGAAAACUCAUGGAACAGCUGCUCCCUCAAAAUCCGCAGAAGGAAUUGCCAAGGCCAGUACUUCAAAUUCAACUUCUAGUUUCCUGAACUGUGUAUAAAUAAAUUUCUGUUCUUUGAAAUCACCCACUUUGUGGUAUUAUUAUUAUCAUUAUUUUUGUGGCAGCCCUGGGAAACUGUGACAGCAUUUGGUAUGGGGUGUUGCUCUAAAAAGUACCUAAAAAUGUGGAAGUGGCUUUGUAAUUGGUUAUAGGGUACAGGCUAGAAUUGUUUUGAGGUACUUUGACGGGGAAAACCUAGAUUGCCAAUCUCUCCCACUUAACCUGAUCUUCCUGCAGUCAACGGCAAGCCCUAUAUCCAAUUUCCCGGGCAAUCCAGUUUCUUUUUUGGGCCUUCUAUUCUGUUUCAAUGGUCUAUUUGUCUAUUUUUUCAACAAAAUCACCAGAUCUUUAUAAUAAAUUUAAUACUUGAUAAGUAGAGCCCUUUGGGCUAAUUUAUCUUCCUUAAAACAAUUCCUUAUUUUUUUUUUCCAUCCAUAUUCCUUGUCACUUUUUACCACAUGCUAUGAUUUUUAAAAAAUAUUCUUUUAGUGUUUCCUUCACCCCAUAGAACAUGUAUUCCUUGAGGGUACAGAUUAUUUCUUUUUUCCCCAUUUAUACCUAGAGCAGUAACUAGGAGAUGCAAAUAAUUGUUGCAUGUGUGAAUGAAUUUAGGUCCUAGCCAGCCACUUUUCAGCUGUAGGGUCAAAGACACCUUAAGGAUCAUUCUUCAGUUUAUCUCUAUUUUCCAUUUGUGAAACAUGGCUAGUAAUAGUAGCUGCUUCACCAGUUAUUUUUAAGUGAGAUAAUUCAUAUAAAGUGCUUAAUAAACUACUUGUUAUGUAGUAUGUAAUAUAACUAGGAAAGAAAAAUAAACAUAACAUGAAGCCCCUAGAAAUCAGAAAGGGAAGGAAAUUCGUAAUAAAUAGGAUAAUUAGUAACUAGAAGUUUGCAGCACAAGGAAACAGUCUGUAACUAAACCUUCAGGUGGGUAGUUUUACAAUCUUUACUUCAAAAAAAAAAUCAUUAAGGAAUAUAGGUUUUUGAAUCUCUGUUUUUACACAGAUGAGAGAGAGUAUGAUUUAGAGGCAGGAGACUGAGGGGGGAGGUGGUCACUACCCCUACUGUGACAGUGUUUCUCAAAGAGGACCAGAGGACUCCUUUCCCAGACCCCAUAAAGCUUUUAUUUGAAAUGCUGCCUCCUGACUCAAUGCCAGAGCAAUAAACCCAAAGAUGAUGAGGGUGGAACCCAGGAAUCUGCUCAUUUAACAGUCUCCCUGAACGUUUCUCAGACACCCUAAAUACCCGUAGGCUUUAAGCAGAGGAAAGGACUUGCUCAAGGCCCCAUAGAGGUUAGUGGAAGACAGAGCAGGUGAAUCAGGUCACAGGGGAAGAUAAGGGAAGAUAUCCCAAUGGAAAAGGGGGAAAAGUAUCUGAAGAAAGUAAAAUAGGGCAAAUAAAAUGUAGAAGAUAAGCAAGUGCAGGGCCUUUGUAGAGAAUAGUGAGACCAACGCUAAUAAAGUGCACAUUUCAUUAUAGAUCAAGGUUGGAAAAAGAGGAAAGUAGUGGAAGAACUUAGAAAAACAUACUUUCAGCUAAUUCGGUUUAGAUGAUUGACUAAAUUUUCAUGUAUACAAUUCAUCCUCAUAGUCGUCCACAGUCACACUCAUUGUUAGCCGGACUUCCCCAAAUGAUGUCAUCAACUCAUGAAAACGCAAUGGCUUAAAGCAGUCUAUUUUUGGAAAAAAUAUCACGUUGAUAGCUUGCCAAAUUAUUUCCAUAAAAAAGGGGGGGGGAAUAUAAUCCUAAGUAAAAAUGUAUCUAUAUAAAAAAAAAAAAAAAACAGAAGAUAAAAUGUCAAGACUGUAUAUAUCUUGAGGAAACACCUGAUGCCAGAUAAUACCCUAAAAUAUUUUGCAAUGUAUUCUUUCACUCUCAGUGAUUCCCAAUGUUCCUAGAGCUCUUCCCACUGAGGUCAACCAGCCAUUGCUUCAGUGGUGAAAGAAGCCAAUCUUAACCUUGAGAACUAUCUUUAAACACACAAGUGGAGGCUAUGGUCAUGAUUAUUGUGGGCCAGGGAUUCAGGCAGGGCUUGACUAAGUGAUUCUUAAGCUCCAUGUGGUAUCUGCUGAUGUUGAUCCCUGGCUGGGCUUAACUGGCGCUUGGGCUGAGCCUGGGCUGGACACUCCAUGGGGCCUCUCUCUCCGUGUGGAUCUAUCCUCCAGAGUCCCUCUGUAUGCUUGCCAGGGCUACCUCAGAAUCACAAGAAGAAUGUUUGGUGCAAGUAAGGGGAAGCUGACAGUUUCUUUAAAGGUUAAGUGUCAUAUUCCCCACAUUGUGGUGGUUAAUUCAUGGCAGACAUCAGCCCAGAUUCAAGAGGAAAAGGAAUAAAAAUACCACUCAACGGGAGAUUGAGAGAGAUUCUGCAGCCACCUUAACAUACACUUUGGAUCAAAACCCUGGGACAGAAGAAAGAGACCAGGAGAGUUGAGAUGAUGAGAAGUGCCUGCCUCCAUCCCCAUCUCUCUGAGUUUGGAAAUUUAAGACUUGAGAAGUUGUGUGUCUCAUUUCCUGAUGGAGGGAAUGAGGGGCAACUUCAUCAAGUACUCUGUGCCAACUUGUGGAGACUGUUAAAGAAAAGACAUGUUGGUAUGUGCAAAAGAGAAGGUCAACUAUAGAAAAGUGAAAAUUACAUUUCUGGCAAAAUGCAUUAUGGUCUGGGAGAGAAAUUUAAAUAUAUUAAAUGUUUGGGUAGCAGGCAAAAUUGUUUUUCUUUAUCCCAAGUAACUGAUAUGAAACUAAUUUCUGUAAGUCCUCAGAGGCAGCAGACACCAUUAUGACAUGGAGAUCAGAGUAGCCGAAGGUGAAUGGACCAUUGAUAUGAGCAGGGAAUUGGGGUAGUGGAGGACCAUCAUUCUGGUGGGAGCACUUGCAUGUGGAUAUGCUUGGAAAGAUUGAUGUUAGCACGUUCUGUGCCUGGAGGAGAGGUCACAAACAUAUACAAAUAUUUUAGAGUCAGAGUAAAAAAAUAGAGGCAAGAUAAGACCUGGAAAAACUGGAGGAGAAAACAAUCAAGAUGAUAAUAAAUUUCAAUAUCUUGGAGCUGACAGUUUCUUUAAACUAAUUAAUUAUUGUAGAUAAAGAUAGUUUAUAGGUACAUCUUUAAAUUUUUGGGUUAAUAUCCCUAAUUGUUCAUCUAUUCACAGAAUGUUUGCUAAGGGACUACACUUUACCAGUAUGUGCAAGGCAGUGAGGCUACAUGAAAGGUAAAAAUUAUUUAUUUAUUGAGUUUUGUCAAUAAGCAAGUAGGUGUCUUAAAAGGCAAAGACACAAGAAGUGUUAAGAAGUAAAUUUAUUUGGCAAUAUCUGUUGGAAACCAUUUUAGCUAAAUGGUCAGAGAAAACCUCUCUGAAGAGGUAAGAUUUGAGCUGAGCUAGAAAUACUGGGAAGAGCUAGCAUCGUGAGAAGCCAGGAGUGAGUCCUUUACAAUUAAAGAAUAAGGGCCAUGGGCUAUAACGCAGACCUCGCACUUCCCAAAGCCGGAGCAAAGAGGAAACUAUAGUCAGUUACAGACUCAAAAGUCACAAGCUAGGACCAAACUAAAUGCUCGAGGGAUACACAGCUUUCCCAAGCAGGGAAAAAGCGUUCCCGUGACUCUGUAGAGUGGGAAUUGUGAGUGGUAAGAAUAUAUCAUCUUCACAUCAGAAUACAGUGGAAAGAAGCUUCGCAUGGAUGGUUUCUUAGAAACAGACACUGACCCAGCAGGAGCUGUCAUAAAACAGGGUUAUUUAAAGAUACGUAGGGCCUAGCCCACCCAAUGGCAUCAGAUAGAGUGUAUCAUAAACACAUUUCUUUUUGAUUCCAUUGCACUAGGAUUUUAAGUCACUUCGAGGUAUGCUGAAAUGACUGAAGUGAGACGCCUGCCUCAUUUAAUUGAAAGUCUCAUAUAAAUAAAUGACAUCCUUUCUACUCAAAGGAGGGAAGAGCAGCCUGUGUAUUUCCGCUAUUCAAAGUUAAGGUUCUCAGCAUUUUCAGAAGCCUGAGAAAUCCGAAUCUCAGAUUUAAUGGCCACAGCAAGUUCUUAUGUGCUGGGAGUUUCUGAUGGAAGGGAUUUACCACUGUGUGCCAAUGUCUAGGGUAAAUGUUUGUAAGAGAAUAAAUAAAACAGAUAAUCUCACAUAAGGAUGAAAACUAAAAAAAUCAAGAAGUAGGUGAAUAAAAGAGUAAAAUGAUAAGAUGAAUUUUUUUAAAUUACUAAAUAUUAAUAACGACUAAAAACUGUGUCAGGUAUGGUUGGGUGAUACAAAAAAAUUGAAAAAUGUUGACAAUCCAAGUACUUAAAAUAUGGUCUGGAGAGAAAUUUAAACAUAUUAAAGGGUUAGAUAGCAGGCAAAAUUGCAUUUUUCUUUAUUCCAAGUAUAUGAUAAGAAGCUAGUUUCUGUAAGUCCUCAGAGGCAGCAGACACCAUGAUGACAUGGGGAUCAGAGUAUCCAGAAAGUGGAUGGACCAUUGAUAUGAGCAGGGAAUUGGGGUAGUGGAGGACCAUCAUUCUCGUGGGAGCACUUGUAUGUGGACAUGUUUGGAGAGACAGAUGUCAGCAGAUUCUGUGCGUGGAGGAGAGGUCUCAAGUUGGGGACUAAAUGGAGAUCAUUGAAUUUUGUUGGCCGAAAAUGAGGAACCUAAUUUUGAUUGUUCAACUAAUUAUUUUAAAUUUACAUUAUGGGAAGGCAGCCUGUAAUAGGAGACUCUGGCCAAAAAGAAGGAUGAAUAAAUGAAUUUUUUUUUUAGAGGGGAUACUGAAGCAUCCCACCAUGAUGGAUGAUGGACCUGGACUGCAGUGUGAAUGAGGAGUGGAAAAUAAGAAGGCAGGGGACACUGCCGACAGCAGAAAAGAAAGUCUGGGAAUGGACUUAGUGUAGAUGAGCUGCAGGGAGCAGGAGGAGGGCAUUCUCGACUUCAUGAUGUCCCCUGUGCUAUUACUCUAUAACAUAGCAUCUAUAAUGUCCAACAAAGAUAUUUCUCGGCUCCCCAAAGUGGGCAAUUUCCAGAGUCUACAUGAGACAUCGUCCUAACCUCAAUUGACACCCUUUGCUAUUACUCUGCUGUUUCUUCAGCGUGCCCUAAGAGUUUAGCUGAACUCAUGAUUCUUCUCCACCACCUCUAUUACUUUCUUUAAUAUGGGCCUUGAUUAAUGUUUUCCAUGAACUAAUAGAUGGCACAGUGGUUAAGGGCUCGGCUGCUAACCAAAAGGUAAGCAGUUUGAAUCCACCAGCCGCUUCUUGGAAACCCUAUGGGGCAGUUUUUCGCCAUCCUAUGGGGUCACUAUGAGCCAGAACUGACUCAAUGGCAGUGGUUUUUUUAGUAAGACUUAACCAAAUUGAAAGAUUUGUAAUAGUUGUUAGAUGCCAUUGAGUUGGUUCUGACUCAUAGCAAACCUAUGUACAGCAGAAUGACACACCGCCUGGUCCUGAGCCAUCUUAACAACCAUUGCUAUGCUUGAGCCCAUUGUUGCAGCCACUGUGUCAAUCCAUCUCAUUGAUGGUCUUCCUCUCUUGUGCUGACCCUCAUUUUACCAAGCAUAAUGUCCUUCUCCAGGGACUGGUCCCUGCUGAUAACAUGUCCAAAGUAUGUGAGACAAAGUCUCACCAUCCCGACUUCUAAGAGCAUUCUGGCUGCACUUAUUCCAAGACAGGUUUGUUUAUUCUUCUGGCAGCCCAUGGUGUAUCCAAUAUUCUUUGCCAGCACCACAAUUCAAAGGCAUCAAUUCUUCUUCAGUCUUCCUUAUUCAUUGUCCAAUUUUCACAUGCAUAUGAGGCAAUGAAAAUAUCAUGGCUUCGGUCAGGUUCGCCUUAGUCCUCAAAGUAACAUCUUUGCUUUUUAACACUUUAAAGAGAUCUUUUGCAGCAGAUCUGCCCAGCCUUUGAUUUCUUGACUGCUGUUUCCAUGGACGUUGACUGUGGAUCCCAGUAAAAUGAAAUGCUUGAAAAAGUCAAUAUUUUCUCCAUUUAUCACGAUGUAUGUAUGUAAGUACCACAGUGUGUUUAUCCAUUCAUCUGUUGAUGAGCACUGUGGUUGUUUCCAUCUUUAUGCUAUUGUGAUUAACACCGCAAUGAACAUGGGUGUGCAUAUGUCUGUGUCAUGGCUCUGAUCUCUCUAGGAUAUAUACCUACGAGUGGGAUUGCUGAAUCAUGUGAUAUUAUUAUUCAUAGCUUUCUGAAUAAGCAUGUAGCGUUCUCCAUAGUGGUUUUACCAGUUUACACUCCCACCAGCAGUGUAUGAGUUUCAAUCUACCUGAAGCCUCUCCAGCAUUUGCUGUUUUCUGUGUUUUUGAUCAGUGCCAUCAUAGCUGGUGUGAGAUGGUAUCUCAUUGUAGUUUUAAUUUGCCUUUCUCUAAUGGCUAAUGACCUUGAGGAUUUCUUCACGUACUUAUUGGUCUACUGAAUGCCUUCUUUGGUGAAGUGUCUGUCCAUGCCCUUUGCCCAUUUUUAAAUUGGAUUCUUUGUCUUUCAUUGUUGAAGUGUUGGAGUUUUCUAUAAAUUUUAGAGAUUAGACCCUUGUCAGAUAUGUCAUUGCCAAAAAUUUUUUCCCAGUCUGGGGGUACUCUUUUUACUCUUCUGGAAAACUCUUUCGAUGAGCAUAAGUAUUUGAUUUUUUAGGAGGUCUAGUCAUUUAGUUUAUCUUCUGCAGUUUGUGCAUUUUUAGUUAUGCUUAAUAGUCUAGUUUUGCCAUAAAUUAGGGCCCCUAUGUUUGUCCCUAUUUUUUCUUCUGUGAUCCUUAUAGUUUUAAGUUUUACAAUUUGGUCUUUGAUCUACCUUGAGUCAGUUUUUGUGUAGGGUGUGAGGUAUGGAUCCUGUUUCAUUUUUCUGCAAACGGAUAUCCAGCUUUGCCAGCAGCCAUUUGUUAAAGAGACUAUCUCUUCCGCAUUUGAUGGAUUUCGACCAUUUGUUGAAGAUCACCUGUCCAUACGUGAUGGAUUUAUUUCUGGGUUGUCAAUUCUGUUCCAUUUGUCUAUGUGUCUAUUGUUGUACCAGUACCAGGCUGUUUGACUAUCGUGGCUGUAUCAGAAAGUGUGAGACCUCCUAGUUUGCUCUUCUUCAGUAAUGCUUUAUUUUUCCAGGGCCUCUUUCAUUUCCGUAUAAAGUUGGUGAUUAUUUUUUCCAUCUCACUAAAGAAUGUUCUUGGAAUUUGGGUUGGGAUUGCCUUACAUCUGUAGAUUGCUUUAGGUGAUAGCGACCUUUUCACAAUGUUAAGUCUUCUUAUACUUGAGCGUGGUAUGUUUUUCCAUUUAUGUAAGUCUCUUUUGGUUUCCUGCAGUAGUGUUUUGUACUUUUCUGUGUAUAAAUCUUUUACAUCUCUAGUUAGGUUUAUUCCCAGGUAUUUUAUCUUUUGAUGCCCAUUGUAAGUGGUGUUGUUUUCUUGAUUUCCUUUUUGGAGUUCUCUGUAUUAGUGUAGAGGAAUCCAACUGAUUUCUGUAUGUUGAUCUUGCACCCUGCCACUUUGCCAAAUCUGACUAUUAGUUCCAGUAGUUUUCUUGGGGAGUCUCUUGGGAUUUUCCAUGUAUAGGAUCAUGUCAUCUGCAUAUAAGAUAGUUUAACUUCUUUCUUACCAAUUUGGAUGUCUUUUAUUUCCCUUUCUUUCCUUAUUGCUCUAGCUAGGACUUCCAGUACAAUAUUGAAUAAAAUUCGUGGUAAACUGCAUCCUUGUUUGGUUCCCAUUCUCAAGGCGAAUGCUUUUAGUCUCUCUCAGGUGAGAAUAAUGUUGGCUGUUGGUUUUGUAUAUAUGCCUUUAAUUAUGUUGAAGAAUUUCCUUUCUAUUCCUAUUUUGCUGAGAGUUUUCAUCAGGAAUGGGUGUUGGAUUUUAUCAAAUCCCUUUCCACUUCAAUUGAGAUGAUCAUGUGAUUCAUUUCUUUGUUUUACUUAUGUGGUGUAUUAUGUAGAUUGAUUUUCUAAUAUUGAACCAUCCUUGCAUACCUGGUAUGAAUCCCACUUGGUGGUGAUUUUUUUUUUUUUUUUUUGAUGUGCUGUAUAAGAUCUAUUGGCUAGAAUUUUGUUCAGAAAUUUUCCACCUGUAUUCAUGAGGAAUACAGGUCUGUAAUUUUCUUUUUUUUUUGUCACAUGGUUGCCUGGCUUCAGUAUCAGGGUUACUUUGGCUUCAUAGAAUGAAUUCUUGACUAUUCCUUCCUUUUCUAUACUCUGAAAUAGUUUGAAUAGUGUUUGUAUGAGCUUUUCUCUGAAUGUUUGAUAGAAUUCUUCAGUGAAGAUGUCUGGGCCAGAGCUUUUUUGACUGGAAUUUUUUUUUUUUUUUAAUUAUCUCUUCAAUCUCUUCUUUUGUUAUAGGUCUGAUAUUAUUUAUUGCAUUUUGGUUUUAUUUAAGGUUUCCCUGGCUACACUAAAAUUUCAAUUUUCUGAGUCUUUCUGUUGUUUCCCAAGAAGUCUUUUGCUCAUCUUUGCUCUGCUCUUUGAAAAACUGUCAGGGCAUGGCACUGAGAAGACUUGCUCACUAAGUACCAUUUUUUUUUCUUUCAGAAAAUGUUUUCACAAUUUCUAGGCACAGAAGUCAGGUAGCUUCUGUCCUGUCUCACCCUUCAUUCUAAAAUAAAAUAAUUUCUGAAAUUCCAAAAGGCUGCAUGAGAGGUAUUACAUUAAAAAAAAAAAAAACAGAAACUGGAAAAAACAUUUUUGAGAGAUGCUUAUGCUUCACCUAUCAUGUUCUUUUUAGGAGCUAAUAACCCAGAAGCAGACUACCAGUUCUUUUUCCCAUACCCCUUUACACAAUCAACUUUUUCCCAUCCCCCUUUGCACAAUCACACUUCUUCCAGGGGAAUUAUUUCUGGAUUAAGGCUUCUUAUUUGAAGGCAUUGCUACAUCUCUGUGGGCAAGACUUUGGCUUCAUUACCUUGAAAACAUCUGGAAAGAUCAAUUAUCAGAAAAAAAAUCACAGUUGGUAAAAUAGAGGUCAGCAAAAAAUGAGGAAAACUCUUAGUGAGAUAGAAUGACACAAUGCUACAACAAUGGACUCAAACACAUCGAUAAUCAUGAAGAUGGAGUAGGACUGGGUAAUGUUUUGCUCUGUUAUACAUAUACAUUUUUUUCAUCCAUCCCGAGUACUACUGAUACUAAGAAGGAUUGUUCUGUGGGGCAAAAUCACCACCAAAUAAACUGGUAAUUAAAAAAAAUUAUCAUUUAUGGCAUGGAAUCUCAAGAGUGUAGUUAACUUAGGUAGGAAAUGAGGGGCAGCGGUGGUUCAGUGGUAGAAUUCUCAUCUUACAUGUGGGAGGCCCAGAUUCGAUUCCCGGUCAAUGCGCCUCAUGUACAGCCACUGCCCAUCUGUCAGUGGAGGUUUCUGUGUUGCCAUGAUUUCAGCAGAACUUCAAAACUAAAACAAACUAGGAGGAAAGGCCUGUUGAUCUACUUCUGAAAAACAGCCAAUGAAAGUUCUAUAGAUCACAACUUCCCAGUUCACAACCAAUCAUAAGGAAGGACAGGACUGGGCAGUGAUUUGUUUCCUUGUGCAUGGGGUCAUUGCAUAUUGGGGGACAGCUCCAUGGCAGCUAACAACCACACAACAUGUAGGAAAUAUUGAAGGAAGCAUCAGCUGAUUUCAUCCAGGUGAUAGACUCAGGCCAAAGCUUCCUGCCUCUCCUUCAUCCAUCCAUGUUUGUCAAUCUACAUCAGUUUGCCUGUCUUCUAUUUCUCAUCUUUUGGUGGUCAACUUCUAUUUUAGUAUUAGAAUCCAGUCUUUAGAAAGAAGUCACAGAGAUUCAUAUUUAUCAUGCUUGUUUAAUCAAAAAGAAAUAAAGCAAAGGUUUUCAGAUGAAAAGUAUAUUUGAUUACUUUUAUUAUGAUUUCCAAUGACUUCUUUUUUAUAUAAGCAGUCAUCUUGUGAGUUUUAAGAAAGUGUCGCACAGACCCAGAGUAUAUGAGUUUCCGGAUCAACAGAGUUGAGAUUUACACUCAAGAAUGAAGUAUGUUGCUAGCAAGCUACUGCCAUUAUCUUUAGUGGCCAGCUGGCUUUACUCUUUAAUAUCUCCCAUUAUAAAUCACUAUUCACUAGUUCAUAAAUUUCUUUCUCAGAAACGAGCCUCUCUUCUUGACAGAGAUCUCCCGAGAGUAUCUCUGGGAGGCUCUUGCUUAAUUUCCCAUUAAAGGUUCUGAGGUGCCUUAACACUUAACUUUAAUGCUUUUCCUCUUUCUUGGAAAACAAGUUAAAGUUAAUAACUGUGAUGACAAAGUAAUUUACAGCAAGAGUGUGCCGUUCUCUCUCCCCAUCCUAAAAAAAAAAAAAAACCAAAAACCAUUGCCCUUGACUCAUG